GUUCUUGAUACAUAGAGCAUGAAAAAUACAUACAUACAAGCGUAUGAUGACUGCAUAGAAACAAACCUGGAAAGCUGAGAGUCUCCAACUGUACACCUUCAGAUUCUCCGUGGGAUUUAAUGCGAAAGCAUACAACGUCAUCUACCCUGCUGCCAAUGACUGAGCAUGCCAAGGAUACUAAAGAUGAACUAUUUCUGCCCAAUAUUCCACUCCCAUAAUGAGAAAUUAUUCUUAUUAUAGGAUCUCAUUAUAUAUCUCAGGAUCUCCUGUCAAUUUUCUCAGAGUAAUUCUCUAACAUGAGCCCUUCCUAGCUCAUCCUCCUUCUUUCUCUCUUUCUUUCCCCCACAGAUGUUAGACCUGUAUCAUAUUGUGAAGGUUCUUUCUACUACUUUUGAGCCUUCCCUCUUUAACCUCAACAGGAUUUUACCACAAUAAAUCUUACUUGUGUCUAAUUAUA